GCCUUCGUGGUGUAGUGGUCAGCACGCUCGGCGCUUAUUCUAGAGGUCUGUGGUUCGAAUCCCGGCGAAGGCA
rnacentral:tRNA from 1 species